ACAGAAUGUAGCUUAAUUUUAAAGCCUUUCGUUUACACCGAAACCAUGCCUAAUAAAUAUAGGUCAUUCUG
rnacentral:tRNA from 1 species